UUGCCAGACUCCUACGGGAGGCAGCAGUGGGGGAUAUUGCACAAUGGGGGGAACCCUGAUGCAGCGACGCCGCGUGGGUGAAGAAGCGCCUCGGCGCGUAAAGCCCUGUCAGCAGGGAAGAAAAUGACGGUACCUGAAGAAGAAGCCCCGGCUAACUACGUGCCAGCAGCCGCGGUAAUACGUAGGUGGCAAGCGUUGUCCGGAUUUACUGGGUGUAAAGGGCGUGUAGCCGGGCUGACAAGUCAGAUGUGAAAGCCGGGGGCUCAACCCCCGAACUGCAUUUGAAACUGUUGGUCUUGAGUAUCGGAGAGGCAGGCGGAAUUCCUAGUGUAGCGGUGAAAUGCGUAGAUAUUAGGAGGAACACCAGUGGCGAAGGCGGCCUGCUGGACGACAACUGACGUUGAGGCCCGAAGGCGUGGGGAGCAAACAGGAUUAGAUACCCGGGUAAU
rnacentral:rRNA from 1 species